GGGUUGCUGCGAGAUGCGUUAAGCGUGCAUUUCCCUGGGGCCAUAUCAUCCUUAAGGGAGCUCUUCCUGCCUUUAUCCGUGGAUUUUGGCAUAGAGCACCCACCUGUUAACGCAGGCCACACGAGGAUAGACAACGCUGACGGUCUUUGCGGCGCCCUC
rnacentral:other from 1 species